CGGGCCUGCAGUGGGUACGGGCAGANUAGAGUGCGGUAGGGGAGAUUGGAAUUCCUGGUGUAGCGGUGGAAUGCGCAGAUAUCAGGAGGAACACCGAUGGCGAAGGCAGAUCUCUGGGCCGUAACUGACGCUGAGGAGCGAAAGGGUGGGGAGCAAACAGGCUUAGAUACCCUGGUAGUCCACCCCGUAAACGUUGGGAACUAGUUGUGGGGUCCAUUCCACGGAUUCCGUGACGCAGCUAACGCAUUAAGUUCCCCGCCUGGGGAGUACGGCCGCAAGGCUAAAACUCAAAGGAAUUGACGGGGACCCGCACAAGCGGCGGAGCAUGCGGAUUAAUUCGAUGCAACGCGAAGAACCUUACCAAGGCUUGACAUAUAGAGGAAACGGCUGGAAACAGUCGCCCCGCAAGGUCUCUAUACAGGUGGUGCAUGGUUGUCGUCAGCUCGUGUCGUGAGAUGUUGGGUUAAGUCCCGCAACGAGCGCAACCCUCGUUCUAUGUUGCCAGCACGUAAUGGUGGGAACUCAUGGGAUACUGCCGGGGUCAACUCGGAGGAAGGUGGGGAUGACGUCAAAUCAUCAUGCCCCUUAUGUCUUGGGCUUCACGCAUGCUACAAUGGCCGGUACAAAGGGCUGCAAUACCGUGAGGUGGAGCGAAUCCCAAAAAGCCGGUCCCAGUUCGGAUUGAGGUCUGCAACUCGACCUCAUGAAGUCGGAGUCGCUAGUAAUCGCAGAUCAGCAACGCUGCGGUGAAUACGUUCCCGGGUCUUGUACACACCGCCCGUCAAGUCAUGAAAGUCGGUAACACCUGAAGCCGGUGGCCCAACCCUUGUGGAGGGAGCCGUCGAAGGUGGGAUCGGUAAUUAGG
rnacentral:rRNA from 1 species